rnacentral:rRNA from 1 species
CCUACGGGUGGCAGCAGUGAGGAAUAUUGGUCAAUGGACGAGAGUCUGAACCAGCCAAGUAGCGUGAAGGAUGACUGCCCUAUGGGUUGUAAACUUCUUUUAUAUGGGAAUAAACUGUUCCACGUGUGGGAUUUUGUAUGUACCAUAUGAAUAAGGAUCGGCUAACUCCGUGCCAGCAGCCGCGGUAAUACGGAGGAUCCGAGCGUUAUCCGGAUUUAUUGGGUUUAAAGGGAGCGUAGGUGGAUUGUUAAGGCAGUUGUGAAAGUUUGCGGCGCAACCGUAAAAUUGCAGUUGAAACUGGCAGUCUUGAGUACAGUAGAGGUGGGCGGAAUUCGUGGUGUAGCGGUGAAAUGCUUAGAUAUCACGAAGAACUCCGAUUGCGAAGGCAGUUCACUGGACUGCAACUGACACUGAGGCUCGAAAGUGUGGGUAUCAAACAGGAUUAGAUACCCUUGUAGUC